CUUUCUCCCUCCCUCCCUACCCGAUCCACACUUCCCUUUCUCCCUCUCGCUCUCGCAUGCUCUCUGCUAGGCCCGAACGGCUGCCCUCCGAUGGUCGCCGCCGUGUAGACACCAGACACCGCUGAAACUCCAGCCUCGCGAGCCCUUCGUUGUCGUUCUCUGCCGCGAGCAGAAGCCUCCAGGCUCGUACGUCGCUGCUGUGGCUUCAAGGCCAAUUUCUGGCCUCCUCUGACAUCGUCCCAGGCGAAGGGUAGCAUGGGUGAACUCAGGGUAUGAAGACGAAUAAAGCCCAGCCAAGUAUCGGGCUUUUAAGUGACUGAAGGAGACGGAAUCAGCUCUCCAUUUGCUGCUCGUAGUCUUCUUCUUGAGAGAAUUGGGGAUGUGUCGAAGGAAAUAAAAAGAGUGAGGGCACAGAUGGAAGAAAACGAAGAACUGGCGAUACUAAUGAGAGGUCUUCCUGGACAAGCGAUUGUAACCUCUUUGGGUCCAUCUUAUAUCAAACUUGGGCAAGCAUUGAGCAUUAUACCUGAUAUACUUUCACCAAGUGCAACGACUGAGCUUCAAAAACUCUGAUAAGUGCAAAGGCCCUUUGUUCUUGAGACUGUAACAGUUGAUUUGUUUGUCAUACGAAAUAUGGGACUGGUUCUUCGCAAGUUUACCCAGAUCUCUGCAGAUGUUGUUGGACUGGUUGAUGAAUGGGCAGCCCGUCUCUUUGAGGAGCUAGAUUAUGUUAAUGAGGGUGAAAAUGGAAUGUGUUUUGCUGAAAUGAUGAAAAAGGACCUUCAACAGGCUGUUGUUCUCGAAACCUACGAGAAGUAUACUUCAAGAAAGGUUCUUACUACCGGAUGGGUUGAAGGAGAAAAGCUUUCACAAAGUACAGAAAGUGAUGUUGGAGAGCUUGUUAAUGUUGGAGUCAUCUGCUAUAUGAAGCAGUUUCUUUUUCUAACCGUCACACCACCAAAGUUCCAGCCACCAUUCGUCGAUAAGGAAUGGAAGGGAUUGAGCUUAAAAAAAGGACUACUUGUUAUGUGUCACUAACUCAACCUCUUCUACUCAACUCAAAUUCAUAUAAACACUUCCUUCACAGUUCACACUUUGUUUUCACUUCUUAAAUCUCUCUUCUCUCUUCUUUGCUUAUAUACACCCCACACUAGUUUUAUUUCCUUUACUUAAAAAUUAUUGGCUCUUAUCUUAAGAAGAUCAUGGAAGAACCCAACCUUCCACUUCUUCUGCAAUAUUCAUGUGCUCUAGCUCCUCGUCGUUGUCGUUGUCAUAGGUCCAAGAAUUAAUGACAAAAAUUUCAGAUAAACAUUAUAAAAAUUGGCUGCUUUUUAUAGUUUUAUAUACCAUCUUUUCAUAUAUGAAUAUUUUCUUAUAUAAAAAAUGGUUGAAUGACACAUUUUAUACAUAUAUAUAAGUAAUAUAUAUAAUAUAAUUAGACACACACACACAAAAUAUGUGUAAAUAAAAAAAAGUCCUUAAAGAGUUCAUUAGACAAAUAAUAGAAUGACACAUUUUAGACAAAUAAUGUUGCUCACAAAUAGAGGGGCACGAAGUGGGUUGUGGUUUUAGAAUGUUGUUCUUAAAUUUGUGCACAUGGGAACGAGGAUGUCUAUUUUGGGGCUUGUUACUGUGAUCUAGGUGGGGAAAUAUGCUCAAGUGAAAUUCCCCCAUACAUUGCAAUGCUUAUGUGAACUUUUUAAAAUUAAAUGUCAACAUCUGACCUUUUUCUUUUCUUAUAAUGUUGAUUAAAAUGAAUAGUUUAAUAUUUUGAUUGGUCUUAAAGCAUUGGAUUGGUAGCUAAUUGUAAGAGGUAUGUUGUAUUUCCAACCUACGGUAUGUUUCUAUUUGUAUAUGAGUUUAUGUAUAUGUAAAGAUGUUUAAGAUAUUUAAUACUAAGAUUUGUACAUGUAUUACCAAUCUUUAUAUAGUGUUGUAAACAACCAAACAAUAUCGACUAUGGAUAUUACGUUAUGUGGAUGAUGAAGAAUGUACUUCUCAUAUGCCCUUCAUAUCAAACCUUUCUUGUCGAAACAGUUCACCUCUGACAAACCAUAUACUACUGAAGAAAUUGACGAAGUUCGAGAAGAAUGGGCAAUGUCAUUUUUACAAUUUGUUAGAGCAAAAUGAAUGAUGUUAUAAUAGAUAGCUUAUUACAAUACAUGUUGAGAAAUUUAAAGUUCUUUUAAAAAAAAUUGGUGUUUUUUUA